rnacentral:rRNA from 1 species
UUGAACGCUGGCGGCAUGCUUUACCCAUGCCAGUCGAACGGUAACAGGCCUUCGGGUGCUGACGAGUGGCGAACGGGUGAGUAAUGCAUCGGAACGUACCCAGAGGUGGGGGAUAACGCAGCGAAAGCUGUGCUAAUACCGCAUGUGAUCUGAGGAUGAAAGCGGGGGACCGAGCAGCAAUGUUUGGCCUCGCGCCUUUGGAGCGGCCGAUGUCGGAUUAGCUAGUUGGUGGGGUAAAGGCCUACCAAGGCGACGAUCCGUAGCUGGUCUGAGAGGACGACCAGCCACACUGGGACUGAGACACGGCCCAGACUCCUACGGGAGGCAGCAGUGGGGAAUUUUGGACAAUGGGCGCAAGCCUGAUCCAGCAAUGCCGCGUGCGGGAAGAAGGCCUUCGGGUUGUAAACCGCUUUUGGCAGGAACGAAACGGUGUCCGCUAAUACCGGGCGCUAAUGACGGUACCUGCAGAAUAAGCACCGGCUAACUACGUG